UACGUAGGGGGCUAGCGUUGUCCGGAAUCAUUGGGCGUAAAGCGCGCGUAGGCGGUCAGGAAAGUCCGGUGUGAAAGUCAUAGGCUCAACCUAUGGAUGCCGCUGGAAACUGCCUGACUUGAGUCCGGAAGGGGCGAGUGGAAUUCCUGGUGUAGCGGUGAAAUGCGCAGAUAUCAGGAAGAACACCUAUGGCGAAGGCAGCUCUCUGGGACGGUACUGACGCUGAGACGCGAAAGCGUGGGGAGCGAACAGG
rnacentral:rRNA from 1 species